ACAUUUCCAAGAAGGGAGAGGCUGCUUGUGUCAAAUGCAAGAGAGGAAUCCAGCUGAGGACCUGGGGAGUGUCCAAUAGAUUUGGCAACUAAUAGGUUAUUAGUGGAAAGGGGAGAUGGGGGAAAGCUGGGCUGUCUUGAGCAGAGGAGGGAAGGAUAGGUGAGAAAAAGGAGAGUACCACUCACUGAAGAGUUGAGCUGUGAGGAGAACAGGGCAAUCGCUCUAAGGUUUAGGGAACACUGCUUAUUUUAAUGGGGUAGGUUAGUGCUCAUCUGAGCUAUGGGAAAGGAGCAAGCAGAGGGAGAGAGGGUUUGAAAAGACUGAAGGAGGAAGACUGGAAGUUAUGUGUGGUGUGGUGGGGGCGCAGUGCUCAAGAGAGGACACAGAAGCUGCUGUCACCCUGGGAAUCGUAUUUCCUCUGAAUGGAGUUGUUUCCAUUCGGAAAUAAGAACACGAUUUCCCAAAGCGCCACGUUUGAUCCAAGCAGUGUCGCCCAGCGUAGAAUCCCGGGUGUGAGAAGACGCGCGUGGUGGGGCCAUGCAAGGUUGGAGGUUUGCUGUGCGGACGAAGCAGGAUGACGAUGCCUGUAUAUUACAGGCUUCUCCCCUGGCUGCUUGCAUGUGAGUCCCGUUCCAGUGCCCCUGCUUCUGAGCUGCCUGACGUCUGGGACGUUACAUCAUGCACUGUGUCCCCCUUUCUUCCAGUGUUGUGAGGACUAACCAAGAACAGCCUCUGGAAUGCAGAGGUGAUGGCUGAAGCUGAAGCAGCCAUAUUGGACCAUGAAGAGAAAGCCACCUGCUAACGAUGCCACAAUGUAGAAGGUACCUGGGUAGAGUCCCUGACACUACAGAGUACCAUUACCAGCCUGGGACCUGCUACCUCCAGACUUCUACAUCAAAGAGAAAUAAACUUUGGUCUUGCUUAAG